rnacentral:lncRNA from 1 species
UGUUCAUCAUGGUGAUCGAGUAGCCUUGUCUGAUGGUAUUAUUCUGUGAAAUUGUGUAUCUUCUACAGGAAAACAUGUGAUCGCCAGGUGUACUCCCAGGUAUCCAGGAUUGUUUUUCUCUUGCUCAUCAGGAACAUGAAACUAUAAAGGAGCCUUGGCCACAAAAAUCUCCAUAGUAGAAGAUUAUACUCAUUGAAAGAAGCUUUGAUUCUCAUGCAUCCUAAAGGAUCAAAUGAUAGAAGACUUGUGGGAUCACAAAUAAAAAUGUAUCACUGAAGGACCUAACAAAGGUAGGAUCCCUUAAAAGAAAUUAAGCAGAAUUUCAAGGAAUGGUUCUCCUCAUUGUGUUUUUCUAGCUGGGUUCCAUAGUAUAUGUGUUUCAUUUAUUCCAUCAUCUAAUUACAGUAAGACUGAUCUUUAUGUUUUCUGAUUUUAUCACUCCUACAUUAUGAGGAUAUUAACCAAGUUCAUCCUUAGUGGAUACUAAGUGAAGACACAAAGUCAUUUAUUAACAAGCAUGAAAUCAGUAUCCUCUAUUUCCUUGAUUUUAUGCUUCCAUAAAAAUAUAUUCUUUUAGGUUUUUAUUAGUGUAGAAUAUAU